rnacentral:misc_RNA from 1 species
AAGGAGUCUAACAUGCCUGCGAGUGUUUGGGUGGAAAACCCAUGCGCGUAAUAAAAGUGAAAGUUGAGACCUCUGUCGUGGAGGGCAUCGACGCCCGGUCUUGAGCUUCGGCGACGGAUCCGCGGUUGAGCAUGUAUGUUGGGACCCGAAAGAUGGUGAACUAUGCCUGAAUAGGGUGAAGCCAGAGGAAACUCUGGUGGAGGCUCGUAGCGAUUCUGACGUGCAAAUCGAUCGUCAAAUUUGGGUAUAGGGGCGAAAGACUAAUCGAACCAUCUAGUAGCUGGUUCCUGC